rnacentral:rRNA from 1 species
CCUACGGGUGGCUGCAGUGGGGAAUAUUGGACAAUGGGGGCAACCCUGAUCCAGCCAUGCCGCGUGUGUGAAGAAGGCCCUCGGGUUGUAAAGCACUUUCAGUGAGGAAGAACGCCUGGUGGUUAAUACCCAUCAGGAAAGACAUCACUCACAGAAGAAGCACCGGCUAACUCCGUGCCAGCAGCCGCGGUAAUACGGAGGGUGCGAGCGUUAAUCGGAAUUACUGGGCGUAAAGCGCGCGUAGGUGGCUUGAUAAGCCGGUUGUGAAAGCCCCGGGCUCAACCUGGGAACGGCAUCCGGAACUGUCAAGCUAGAGUGCAGGAGAGGAAUGUAGAAUUCCCGGUGUAGCGGUGAAAUGCGUAGAGAUCGGGAGGAAUACCAGUGGCGAAGGCGGCCUUCUGGACUGACACUGACACUGAGGUGCGAAAGCGUGGGUAGCAAACAGGAUUAGAUACCCUAGUAGUC